rnacentral:lncRNA from 1 species
GAUGUGUGUCAUACAGCACGCAUCAUGGCCUUCCACGUGGUAGUAAGAAAAGGCUAUCAUAAUGGGACCAAUGCGACAGGGUGUGUCAUGCGUUGCUGACGCUCAGGGCAUGGGCAUGCAGUGCACGCGUGCGCUCAGUGCUGCGCAGGAAGCUGCACACACGUGGGCACGCAUUGAUGCCAUGCACGCACAGUGCAUGCCCACAAUGCCGU